UACGUAGGGGGCGAGCGUUGUCCGGAUUCAUUGGGCGUAAAGAGCUCGUAGGCGGCUUGGCAAGUCGGGUGUGAAACCUCCAGGCUCAACCUGGAGACGCCACCCGAUACUGCCAUGGCUAGAGUCCGGUAGGGGACCACGGAAUUCCUGGUGUAGCGGUGAAAUGCGCAGAUAUCAGGAGGAACACCGGUGGCGAAGGCGGAUCUCUGGGCCAUUACUGACGCUGAGGAGCGAAAGCGUGGGGAGCGAACAGG
rnacentral:rRNA from 1 species